CCUUACUCAUCCCCUGGUCCCCUGCCGAGCUUUCUUAGAUUUGGAGACCUUGUAGGGGAGCUGCUGUCUCAGAGAGAAAGAUCCAUCACUUGCUUGAUAAAGAAGCAAGAAAACAGAUGCAAGAGAUACCAGUCAACAUAUUUGAUAGUUUGCUCAUUUUUUCAUUUAUUUUCUCAUUUAUUCAAUGAUCUUGCAAGCGUUUAUCAUCUAUCAGAGUAAGUAUUU
rnacentral:lncRNA from 1 species